AGAAACAAGGCUCUUUGUGUGGCAAAGACGUGUCACGUUGUGCAUUUUUAUCUGCCAAAAGAAAAACGAAACAUCUAAUCAUAUCAUCUGCAACCCUUCAGGUACAAUCUCAACAUUUUUUCACAGAAUAAACAAAUCUUCACGUACGUCCAGCGUAUAAUGCCUUGUUUUCCCAAAUGCAGGUUCAGGAAGAAGAAGAACACUAGAGAAAACAGCAAAUAGAAGCCAAAACGCCAUUUUGGACCUUAAGGCGUUGAUUAUAGCUGGUAAGGCUACUGAACACUCUGCCUCUGUUAUUAUAUUUCUAUUUCUUUUGCUGUAGAUUGUGGAUUCAUUGUUUCAACAUUUAGUGUAUAUAUAGGAAGGAAAGUUAGGUGUUUGUUUGCUUGGAGAUGUUGAAGAAAAAGAUUUAGUAGUUGUUUAUGUAAAAACAAAAAGAUAAUUGGUAGAGAAGUUUGUGUAAUUGGAGACUCUCGAGACAAGGACUAGUUGUUAGAACAUAUAUGAACAGCUUAUGAAUGAGUGGUGUCAAAGAUAAGUCAAACUCUUUGACCAUGUUUAAUCCCUCAAAACUCUAGUUUCCUUUUCAAUAUUAUGGCGUGGAUUGUAAAUAUGAAUUGCAAAGUUGUCAAUUUAGUUUCUUUUAUGUGAUUUAGAUGAUUUGGCAGCUUUGAGUAUAUUGGACUUCAAAUUCAUACAUGAGAAAGUAAGUAACUUGGACCAAAUGUGGCAGUUGAUAUUGUUUGAUAUAGUCACUGGCCAAGUGUUGUUUUAGACCCGACAAAAAGGGUCUGUGAAACAGAAUUAUGCACACAGUUUUAGGAGUGUUGUAAACUUCUAGAAGGGUAACUUUUUUUGGUUAGCGGUUAUGUUUUUGCUAAUUGAAUUUCAUCAUUUCAUAUGCAUUUUAAGUGAUAAGUACUUCAUCUAAUUAUUAAUUGUUUAAUUUUUAAUUUGAAGGUGUGAACUCUUCAAGGAGGUUAAUCGAUGUUGAGUUAGUCAAAACAUUCGUAAGCUAAAAUUGCUUGGGGAUUAAGCAAAGAGAGGGAGAUUGUAGCUAUCAUAGAAGGUCACGCUUAGGGUUAGAUAUCAAAAUCCAUGAAGGCUAUUGUUCAGGAUGUUCAAAAACAUUGAGGAAGUCUCGAAUGAAGUGUUUGUAAUUUUAUUUUCCAAGCAAUUGACCUGACUCUCUUUUAAGUUCGUAUCCUCAAAGGCAUGCCAACCUUAUACAUAUGCUUUUCUCUCUAUAAACAACUAUAUAUUCAUAUAUUAGGAUUUUUUUUUUUUUUGCAAUAAUAAUCUAUAUAUGCAAAUUGUUUGCUUGUUAUUCGUCUUUCAUAUUUAUAGUUUUGACAAUGUGAAGUCG
rnacentral:lncRNA from 1 species